AAGUCGUAACAAGGUCUCCGUAGGUGAACCUGCGGAAGGAUCAUUAACACGUUAUCCAUACGUUAACCAACGCGAAUUGUUUUCACCCUCCCUUCACGGAGAAUGAGCGGGGUUGGUAGAGGUAUUAAAAGGGAUUGCUUCGGCAGUCUGCCUCUACUGACUAUUUUAUCAUAACAGAAAUGUUUGAUUUGACGCUGUAUCUUUUGUGGAGAUUAAUCUCUUCUGGCGCUCUCCUUUUAUGAGAGUCAGUCGAGAACUAUAUUAACUUAUUUCACCUUUUGCUAGUAGACUUUUAUAUGUUGGGUACUAUGCUUUUGCGUUUUGCUCACACGUUUAUUAUUUGAACGUUAAAAUUACAACUCUUAGCAAUGGAUAUCUUGGUUCUC
rnacentral:misc_RNA from 1 species